AUUGAACGCUGGCGGCAGGCCUAACACAUGCAAGUCGAACGAGUGGCGGACGAGUGAGUAAUGUCUGGGAAACUGCCUGAUGGAGGGGGAUAACUACUGGAAACGGUAGCUAAUACCGCAUACCAUCAGAUGUGCCCCGAUGGGCUUAGCUAGUUGGUGGGGUAACGGCUCCCCAAGGCGACGAUCCCUAGCUGGUCUGAGAGGAUGGCCAGCGACCGUGGAAAUGAGCCACGGUCCAGACGCCUACGGUAGGCAGCAGUGUGGAAUAUUGCACAAUGGUCGCAAGUCUGAUGCAGCCAUGCCGCGUGUGUGACGAAGGCCUUCGGGUUGUAAAGUACUUUCAGCGGUGAGGCGUUACCGGCAGAAGAAGCACCGGCUAACUCCGUGCCAGCAGCCGCGGUAAUAC
rnacentral:rRNA from 1 species